UGCGAUAGGGGGAGUAUUACCCCUAUCGUAGCAAUGUAGCAGUAGCA
rnacentral:ncRNA from 1 species